rnacentral:tRNA from 1 species
GUGGGGCUCAGUGGUAGAGCGCUUGCUUAGUGUGUGUGAGGCACUGGGUUCAAUACCUGGUACCACA